CAGCCGCCGCGGUAAUACGAAGGGGGCUAGCGUUGUUCGGAAUUACUGGGCGUAAAGGGCGCGUAGGCGGCCAUUCAAGUUAGAUGUGAAAGCCCUGGGCUCAACCUAGGAAUUGCAUUUGAUACUGUUUGGCUUGAGUUCGGGAGAGGUGAGUGGAAUUCCCAGUGUAGAGGUGAAAUUCGUAGAUAUUGGGAAGAACACCAGUGGCGAAGGCGGCUCACUGGACCGACACUGACGCUGAGGCGCGAAAGCGUGGGGAGCAAACAGGAUUAGAUACCCCUGUAGUCCCUGUCUCUUAUAC
rnacentral:rRNA from 1 species